rnacentral:rRNA from 1 species
CAGCAGCCGCGGUAAUACGUAGGUGGCAAGCGUUGUCCGGAAUUAUUGGGCGUAAAGGGCUCGCAGGCGGUUUCUUAAGUCUGAUGUGAAAGCCCCCGGCUCAACCGGGGAGGGUCAUUGGAAACUAGGAAACUUGAGUGCAGAAGAGGAGAGUGGAAUUCCACGUGUAGCGGUGAAAUGCGUAGAGAUGUGGAGGAACACCAGUGGCAAAGGCGACUCUCUGGUCUGUAACUGACGCUGAGGAGCGAAAGCGCGGGGAGCGAACAGGAUUAGAUACCCCCGUAGUCCCUGUCUCUUAUAC